CGAAGUUUCCCUCAGGAUAGCAGGUGCUCGCCUGAUUCAGAGUUUCAUCCGGUAAAGCGAAUGAUUAGAGGUCUUGGGGAUGAAACGUCCUCAACCUAUUCUCAAACUUUAAAUGGGUGAGAUGCAGUGCUUGCUUAAUCAGCAAUGCAAUGAAGCACUGCGGCUCAAAAUCAGAGUACCUAGUGGGCCAUUUUUGGUAAGCAGAACUGGCGAUGUGGGAUGAACCAAACGUCGAGUUAAGGGGCCUAAAUGAAUGCUCAUCUAGAACCCAUCGAAAGGCGUUGGUUGCUAUAGACAGCAGGACGGUGGCCAUGGAAGUCGGAAUCCGCUAAGGAGUGUGUAACAACUCACCUGCCGAAGCAACUAGCCCUUAAAAUGGUAUGGCGCUCAAGCAUUCUCCCGAUACUCGACCGCCGGUGGCACUAAGGCCAUGGUCGCCUCAGCGCGGCUCAGGUCUCCAAGCCCCGGUGAGUAGGAGGGCGCAGGGGUGAGCGGUGAAGUGUGCGGCGUGAGCCGGCAUGGAGCCGCCCCUGGUGCAGAUCUUGGUGGUAGUAGCAA
rnacentral:rRNA from 1 species